UUUAAUUGGGGGGUUAGUAAUGAUUACCUUUUCCCCACCUCUUUUACGUGUCUGUUUGUGCAUUACGAACCAGUAGAAACAUAGGAAAACCUGACACAGCGGCUGCAUGGCCAGGAAGAUCAAAAGAAAAGAUAUUGGGUUGCAUGCGAAAAGUUUUUCGUUCAUGUUUAAGCCGUUACACCUGCAUUUAUUUUGUUUCGUUCAUGUUUAAGCCGUUAGUUUUGGUAUUUAAUAUGUAAUCAUCACCAUGUUCUUCUAUCAGCAUUAAUUUGGUUUCAUUCUUGUCUCGCUCUUCUUUCAUCCGUACAUGCUGGAAUUAACUUUUACAAACAUCAUUGAUCACUCAACAAAAAAACGGCGAUUUGUGUGCAAUUGAUAACAUAUCUUGUGUUAAAAUAUCGAUGCAUGCAAUUUAUUCUUUGUAGGUAUAUCGAUGCAUGCAAUUUAUUCUUUGUAAAUUGAUAACAUAUCUUGUGUUAAAAUAUCGUUGCAUGCAAUUUAUUCUUUGUAAAUAUAUUGUGUGUUUUAAUCUCAGAUGGUUCGAUGUAUACGGUUUUGGCGAGGACAAUGGAAGAAAAGUGGAGAAGAAGAGCGGGAGUUCAUGAUCCAUCCAGAAGAAAUAGGCUAUAGGGUGGUCAUCUAUGAAACUGUGAGCUAUGAUACGCUUGACCAGAUUAUAAGACAGCGCUACCGUCUCAGCCAUCAAGAACCUCUUUUUCGUAUGGAUAUGUUGGAUGUUUCUAUUUGCAUUUGUGUUGGUUUGCUAAUAUUUUGAUUAUCAUGGAAGGGUUGUUUGUUGGCAAGUUUUAGAAUGAUGUAACAUUUUCUCUAUCGGGGUUGUUCAAGUUUUUUCAAG
rnacentral:lncRNA from 1 species